GGGAAAGGGGAUUAUCGCCUAAACGGUUUUUAUCCUCUUGUGAGAGAAACGGUCCGUUACAAUUGGUGGCAGCGGUGGGAUCAUUUCCACAGCCCAGAAGGACAGCUAUAAUACCACACCAGUUCCUGGAUUACAAAUUGAGGGCAACGCCAGUACCCGUACAGCGACCCUAUCUACAAAAGAACCAACUUCAGCAGCGCAAGCAUGGCACCCAGCUACACUCAGGAGCAGUAUGACAGAGAGUUUACCAUGCGGCUGGCUUUCUUUGGACCCAACCCCCUGGAGAAAUACGU